rnacentral:rRNA from 1 species
UACGUAGGUGGCAAGCGUUGUCCGGAUUUACUGGGCGUAAAGAGCGCGCAGGCGGUCGUUCAAGUCGAGUGUGAAAGCCCCCGGCUCAACUGGGGAGGGUCAUUCGAUACUGAUCGACUCGAAGGCAGGAGAGGGUAGUGGAAUUCCCGGUGUAGUGGUGAAAUGCGUAGAUAUCGGGAGGAACACCAGUGGCGAAGGCGACUACCUGGCCUGUUCUUGACGCUGAGGCGCGAAAGCUAGGGGAGCAAACAGG